AGGAGCUGGUGCAGGAUGUGACAGACCUGGAGCUCCGGGUGCAGGCUGAGGAGCCGGAGCUGUCCGCGGUGCUGAACAGAUGCUGCAGCUGCGGCGCGUCGAGGUCGCACAGGAUCAUCCCGGUGUCGGAGAUUAGAUGUCCUCACCUGUGACACGAGCCGGACAGUAACCUGAAGAGGAUUCCCAAAGAGGUUCCUCAUGAUGAAAGAUGAAGAUAUCAAUAUUUUUCAAGAAAUCAAGCACUUAAUCCAACACAGUCUGACUGAUCUGGGAACAAAAAUGCCCUCUGAAGCCUCACAACGCAGAUAAUUCACUUCAAGCACUUUGAUUGAUCUAUAGCGCAUCUUCAGCCGUUCGACUAAGAUUUACACUCACUCUCAACCUUCAAUUUGUCAUGAGAAUAACCUCCCACCAGAGCUGCUAUUGGAUGACAAAAUAACAUCUCCCACUGCUGCUGUGGACCAUGCAGAAGAUCUGGAGUUGAGGUAGUGAUCUGGUUUUUGUAUUGUUGG